AUGUCCUCAGCGGGCAGGAUUAAAGCGUUGCUACAUUGUGUCCUAUUUUGUGCUUCCAGCUGUAAUUAUAUUUUUCCUGAGCUUGAUCAUCCAGCCUUCCUUCAUUCCCUGGGCUCGCUGCACGAAGAAAAACUCAGUUUUGGAGUAAAUGAAGGAAACAACACUCAAAAGACAAGACAGAACACAGCAACAGGAUCACCGACUGAUACCUACAUACUCUCUCAGGUUUGGGGGCUGUUUGUUCUUACUAUUCUUGUUGUUGGUUAYGGCCUGUACACUGUAUACCCAUUUUGGUUCUGCUGUAAUGAUGAAGAAGGACAUAGGAGAAACGAGCUGGAGCUCCCAUUAGAGGAAAGACCACAGGAAUUCAGCGAACACCUCUUGGAAUGACCUUGUGUGAGAGGAUGGUGACACAUGUUUGGGUGGGACAUUGAAGCUGGGCUGGAAAAAUACCCUGCUCUCACUGUUCUUUCCAUAGCAUGGCUCUAGUUCAUAAAUUGUCUCCUGAACUGAAACUCUUUCUAACGCAGUGUAUAAAGCCAAACUGGCCUUUGCAUCUUGCAAACACCUUUGCAUCAAAGCUGGUGAGAAAAGAUGGGGUGGGGGAGGGACACACAACGGUCAGUUUUCAGAGUGGAGUGUGUUUUCCUGAUGCUAUUUCUGAAACUUGCAUUGCUCAGCUACAAACUGGUACGGAGAACAAACAAUGAUGCUGGUGGCACUGGUUAUUUAGGCUUGGUUGAGGCAAGCUGGGAGGUCUCCUGACUUCUCCAGAGCAGAAGUACCCAUCACGCAGCACUGCCUGAAGGAGAGAAAGGAGGAGACUUUCAGGGGCUGCCUGCUGGGUGGCAGUAUCCCCUCCCUCCAUCACAUACUGGCAACGGCACACAACAGCUGCUAGAGAGGAGCCUGAGGUUGCAGGAGGAUUUCCCUGAUGCCCAUCCCUUCUCCUUCUCCUGCUCACGCUGUGUUGCGAGACCUCAUGUUGCCGCUCUGUCACUCGUGCAGCCACCUUCAAGGAAAUGCAAUAAGAAGAUUCUGCUUUUGGCAGCAGGCGUAGGGCAACCUGGGAGCGAGGCUCCUCUUUGUGGYACCCCCUGGGCCUACAAUUACCAAUUGAACAAGCUGCUGCGUUUUGAAGGACUUCCUGCUACAGCAUAGCUCAGACAGGGCCGGAAGGCACAGGCUGAGCUUAAACGGUGCUGCUGGGCCUUACACAGAGCUGCUGGGUGCGUGGGUGGAGGCCCCAGGUAAGGCUGCUCCGGGCCAUUAAGGUCUAUGAGCGCCCCCAGGGCCUUGGGUGCAGCCUCCCCUCCCAGCAAGGUGGGUCCUCACACCUUAUGGAGAUCUGGGUGCAGAAGGGACUUUCUGCAGAGUGAUUUAACUGCUG
rnacentral:lncRNA from 1 species